rnacentral:rRNA from 1 species
UGCGUAGGCGGGCCGAUAAGUCGGAUGUGAAAUCUCACAGCUUAACUGUGAGUCGCCAUUCGAAACUGUCGGUCUUGAGUGCAGGAGAGGAGAGUGGAAUUCCUGGUGUAGCGGUGAAAUGCGUAGAUAUCAGGAGGAACACCGGUGGCGAAGGCGGCUCUCUGGACUGACACUGACGCUGAGGCACGAAGGCCGGGGGAGCAAACA